UGUAAUCCCAUGAAAAGAUGAAAUAUAACAAUUAGCCAUAGUUCUGAAUGCACUUCGAUUAAGCCAAAACAGACAGCUAGUGAUCUUUUUAUAUGCUCUUUUUACUUAAGUUUUAAUUUGUCCUUUAAACAAAGGUGAAAAAAAAAACCAAGAACAAGUUCUAGCAAACUGAAGCAACCUCUUAUGUACACUAGAUGCUUGACUUAGGAGGAGUUUUUAAAUGUUCUCAAUGUUAUUCUGUAGUAAAUGGCACUAUUAUGAAGCCACUAGUCAUUCCAUAUGAGUCUUAAGGACUGCUCUGUGUAACACUGUGACUGCCCUGUGUGCUUAGACACGUAGUUUCCUCAGUGGCUAGCACCCAACUUACUCCGUAGUGAUAUUGUAACAAUACUGCCAUUCCCUCGUACUGCACUGCCCAAUGUGUGUGUAGCACAAACAGUUCUCAUUCUUAAGGACCAAUUCAGAACUGAACAGCUAUGCAUAGGACAGAAAGAUACAUAGACUGGGGGGGUGGGGAGAACACACAGCAUCUUGUCAACACUGUGCACUAGUCCACAUUUGUCUCGCUGAGGUAGACAGCCACUUCAGGAAGGUGAGCCUGCUACCUAACACUGCUUCUAGACUCUUCGCCCACUUGAUAGUGCGGCCUGUUUUCACCUCCAGGUCACAGAAAACAGCAACAUCCUGACGGGAGAGGACCAUCUUCACAUCUACCAAAAUAAAAUGGAGGCAUGGAAAGUGUGGCCUCCUGUUUGAUCUAUAGGAUUUAGCUCCAUGCUUUGGACAAAAGUCAAGAGAAUCCCAGAAAGGGCUCUUGGUAGACUUUAAACAUGGGGUUGGCCGUUCCUCCUGCACACACAACACAAUCUCCAAACCCUGGUUCUUCCCUCAUUGGAGAAGAGGCAAAGCCUUUGCUCCUCACCUCCAUCCCAGCAAACUCUUCAGAAUUAGAACAGAUGCAGAGGACAAGGAGAAAAUCCUUUCCUGUGGACGAACAGCACAUUUUCAACAUUAAAACCACAGAUGAUAGGAAAGGCACACUCAUAGGUGAGAUUAAACAGGAGACUCAAAUGAGGGGCUUUCCUACUUAAGGGACCAAGUCCUACCAAAGAGAAGGAGUUGACUUUAAAAAAAAAAAUACCUUAGAUACCAGACACCGACAUUUCGGUUCACCACCUCCCGACUUAAGUUGUACACGGUGGAGCAACAUUUCCAAGGAAGCAGCUUCCAGCUGCCCAAGCAGACAUUCCUUCCUGCAUCACAACACUACUAGCACAUUCUCUUGCAACACUGCCAACGUGGGAUUGUCACCAUAGACUUAGUUGGUACUAUAUCAUCUCCCAUGAGCCGGUGACUGGACCUGCUUCCUGACCUGCCAUCCAUCCUCAGAUGAGCCACCUGUACCCUUCUGACAGUGCAGUGUGAAGUCUUAGAAGCUGAUGCCCUAGAAAGAUCCUAGUUGCCUUUGUUGCAUAUAUUUACUGCCUGCUUGAGUGUUUCUCUGUGUGGGUUCUCUCUGUGUCUCGUAGAAAUGUUGGGGUGUUUUCUUCUGCCAUAAGGGCUCGUGGCCCGCGAGCCAACUCCUUUAGCUGUAUUCUUCCUUCAUUUUUUGAUAAGUGGUUUAAAUUCUGUUUCACUUUGUGUAGUGAACCCCAUGGUAGUUUUCUGAUCGUUGUUAAAAAAAAUGACUUAACAUAUUACAUGGACACUCAAUAAAAAUGUUUUAUUUCCUG
rnacentral:lncRNA from 1 species